CGUAGGUGAACCUGCGGAAGGAUCAUUACCUAGAGUUGUAGGCUUUGCCUGCUAUCUCUUACCCAUGUCUUUUAAGUACCUUACGUUUCCUCGGCGGGUCCGCCCGCCGAUUGGACAAUUUAAACCAUUUGCAGUUGCAAUCAGCGUCUGAAAAAACUUAAUAGUUACAACUUUCAACAACGGAUCUCUUGGUUCUGGCAUCGAUGAAGAACGCAGCGAAAUGCGAUAAGUAGUGUGAAUUGCAGAAUUCAGUGAAUCAUCGAAUCUUUGAACGCACAUUGCGCCCCUUGGUAUUCCAUGGGGCAUGCCUGUUCGAGCGUCAUUUGUACCUUCAAGCUCUGCUUGGUGUUGGGUGUUUGUCUCGCCUCUGCGUGUAGACUCGCCUCAAAACAAUUGGCAGCCGGCGUAUUGAUUUCGGAGCGCAGUACAUCUCGCGCUUUGCACUCAUAACGACGACGUCCAAAAGUACAUUUUUACACUCUUGACCUCGGAUCAGGAGGA
rnacentral:rRNA from 1 species